rnacentral:rRNA from 1 species
UUACAACGAAGAGUUUGAUCCUGGCUCAGGAUGAACGCUAGCUACAGGCUUAACACAUGCAAGUCGAGGGGCAUCAGGAAGAAAGCUUGCUUUCUUUGCUGGCGACCGGCGCACGGGUGAGUAACACGUAUCCAACCUGCCCUUUACUCGGGGAUAGCCUUUCGAAAGAAAGAUUAAUACCCGAUAGCAUAAUGAUUCCGCAUGGUUUCAUUAUUAAAGGAUUCCGGUAAAGGAUGGGGAUGCGUUCCAUUAGGUUGUUGGUGAGGUAACGGCUCACCAAGCCUUCGAUGGAUAGGGGUUCUGAGAGGAAGGUCCCCCACAUUGGAACUGAGACACGGUCCAAACUCCUACGGGAGGCAGCAGUGAGGAAUAUUGGUCAAUGGGCGCUAGCCUGAACCAGCCAAGUAGCGUGAAGGAUGAAGGCUCUAUGGGUCGUAAACUUCUUUUAUAUAAGAAUAAAGUGCAGUAUGUAUACUGUUUUGUAUGUAUUAUAUGAAUAAGGAUCGGCUAACUCCGUGCCAGCAGCCGCGGUAAUACGGAGGAUCCGAGCGUUAUCCGGAUUUAUUGGGUUUAAAGGGAGCGUAGGUGGACUGGUAAGUCAGUUGUGAAAGUUUGCGGCUCAACCGUAAAAUUGCAGCUGAUACUGUCAGUCUUGAGUACAGUAGAGGUGGGCGGAAUUCGUGGUGUAGCGGUGAAAUGCUUAGAUAUCACGAAGAACUCCGAUUGCGAAGGCAGCUCACUGGACUGCAACUGACACUGAUGCUCGAAAGUGUGGGUAUCAAACAGGAUUAGAUACCCUGGUAGUCCACACAGUAAACGAUGAAUACUCGCUGUUUGCGAUAUACAGUAAGCGGCCAAGCGAAAGCAUUAAGUAUUCCACCUGGGGAGUACGCCGGCAACGGUGAAACUCAAAGGAAUUGACGGGGGCCCGCACAAGCGGAGGAACAUGUGGUUUAAUUCGAUGAUACGCGAGGAACCUUACCCGGGCUUAAAUUGCAGUGGAAUGAUGUGGAAACAUGUCAGUGAGCAAUCACCGCUGUGAAGGUGCUGCAUGGUUGUCGUCAGCUCGUGCCGUGAGGUGUCGGCUUAAGUGCCAUAACGAGCGCAACCCUUAUCUUUAGUUACUAACAGGUUAUGCUGAGGACUCUAGAGAGACUGCCGUCGUAAGAUGUGAGGAAGGUGGGGAUGACGUCAAAUCAGCACGGCCCUUACGUCCGGGGCUACACACGUGUUACAAUGGGGGGUACAGAAGGCAGCUAGCGGGUGACCGUAUGCUAAUCCCAAAAUCCUCUCUCAGUUCGGAUCGAAGUCUGCAACCCGACUUCGUGAAGCUGGAUUCGCUAGUAAUCGCGCAUCAGCCACGGCGCGGUGAAUACGUUCCCGGGCCUUGUACACACCGCCCGUCAAGCCAUGGGAGCCGGGGGUACCUGAAGUACGUAACCGCAAGGAUCGUCCUAGGGUAAAACUGGUGACUGGGGCUAAGUCGUAACAAGGUAGCCGUACCGGAAGGUGCGGCUGGAACACCUCCUUUCU